UGCAAGUCGAGCGGAUGACGGGAGCUUGCUCCUUGAUUCAGCGGCGGACGGGUGAGUAAUGCCUAGGAAUCUGCCUGGUAGUGGGGGACAACGUUUCGAAAGGAACGCUAAUACCGCAUACGUCCUACGGGAGAAAGCAGGGGACCUUCGGGCCUUGCGCUAUCAGAUGAGCCUAGGUCGGAUUAGCUAGUUGGUGGGGUAAUGGCUCACCAAGGCGACGAUCCGUAACUGGUCUGAGAGGAUGAUCAGUCACACUGGAACUGAGACACGGUCCAGACUCCUACGGGAGGCAGCAGUGGGGAAUAUUGGACAAUGGGCGAAAGCCUGAUCCAGCCAUGCCGCGUGUGUGAAGAAGGUCUUCGGAUUGUAAAGCACUUUAAGUUGGGAGGAAGGGCAGUAAGCUAAUACCUUGCUGUUUUGACGUUACCGACAGAAUAAGCACCGGCUAACUCUGUGCCAGCAGCCGCGGUAAUACAGAGGGUGCAAGCGUUAAUCGGAAUUACUGGGCGUAAAGCGCGCGUAGGUGGUUCGUUAAGUUGGAUGUGAAAGCCCCGGGCUCAACCUGGGAACUGCAUCCAAAACUGGCGAGCUAGAGUACGGUAGAGGGUGGUGGAAUUUCCUGUGUAGCGGUGAAAUGCGUAGAUAUAGGAAGGAACACCAGUGGCGAAGGCGACCACCUGGACUGAUACUGACACUGAGGUGCGAAAGCGUGGGGGAGCAAACAGGAUUAGAUACCCUGGUAGUCCACGCCGUAAACGAUGUCAACUAGCCGUUGGAAUCCUUGAGAUUUUAGUGGCGCAGCUAACGCAUUAAGUUGACCGCCUGGGGAGUACGGCCGCAA
rnacentral:rRNA from 1 species